rnacentral:rRNA from 1 species
UACGUAGGGUGCAAGCGUUGUCCGGAAUUAUUGGGCGUAAAGAGCUCGUAGGCGGUUUGUCGCGUCUGUCGUGAAAGCUUGGGGCUUAACCCCAAGUCUGCGGUGGAUACGGGCAGACUAGAGGCAGGUAGGGGAGAACGGAAUUCCCGGUGUAGCGGUGAAAUGCGCAGAUAUCGGGAGGAACACCGGUGGCGAAGGCGGUUCUCUGGGCCUGUACUGACGCUGAGGAGCGAAAGCGUGGGAAGCGAACAGG